GCAUCUGCCCUCUUCCUCUCUCCCUGGUCCGCCCCAAGCCCCUCUUCCUCCCUGGCGGCGGGGAGAGGUGACCACGGGCAGAUUUUGGGGAGCAGCGCGAGCAUCAAGCAAUGGUUGAUGCCAAGAUGAGCUUCCCCUCGACUCCUCUCUCUCUCUCUCUCUCUCUCUCUCUCUCACACCAUCACACAAUAAUCUCCUCCUGAUCUUGCUAUUUGUGUAUAAUGCAUCUUCAUAUGGCAUUGAUGUUCUUCCGAUUUGCAGGCAUGUCAAGAUCAAGGAUAUUUAAACUUGUUUCUUUUAUUGAUGAAAGAUUUCAGAUGCUUCUGUAGAUGAAUUUCUGGUGUUAAUUGUCCCAAAGAUGGAACGAUUUGUUCCACGGAAUUUAUCUCCUUAGUUGCAUUCCAUUUACAGUUCAUGUUCAUGGCCUUGCUGUGGUUGCACGGUGGUUCGUGGGGAACAGGAGCAAAUACCUUUGCUACAACCAAGGUCUUGACAAACCAGUCAGGGAGAGAUAGGAUCGUUUUGCAGGGGUUGUUAUGUUCUGUCCCCCGUGCCGCUGGACGAGAAAGAGUAGAGGAUCCAGGAAAGCAACCGCAGGAGCCGGAGAAGACGUCCCCAGGGCUUCUACGAGGACCAAAAGCAUUCCUUUCAGCAAUCUGGGGUUGUUAAGUAGAGGGUCGGGAUUGCCCUGCGCAGAUGCUGAAGUUCCUGGAUGUAAACGCACACUUGCCUACAUGGGCCAAAAUACUAUUUGAGAUAAUGAUACUUGUUUUGCAUAUUUGCAUCUCGAAGAAGCUUGCCCACUAUUGUAGGUCAACAUUUUCUUGCUUGCUUGUGGAAAAACUGGUUCUCGUUCAGUUAUGUGUGUCAGUCUGAUAGAAGAUGGACACCCCUCUUCAAGUUGGUUUAUGGGCUUGCGGAGUGUGAGAAUUUACGAAAAUCUCUGCCUUAUAGGGCCGGUUCAUAUUGACAUGGAGGAGGCACAGAGGUUUAUUGCUUCUGUUUGUGGGAUGGCCUUGAGGGGAGACCAAAGCAAACAUCAACAUGUUCAAGGUACAUACUGAAGGAUGUUCUGAGGCUAGCACCUGGUUUAGAAGUUUUGAAAUUCACAACAAUACCUCAUAAUUUUGAUUUGAUAUCCAGAAUGCUAAUUGAAGAAUGAGCCUAUGAACUGCAUUAUAUUUUGUAAUAUAUCCUUAUAUAUGGUGCUUGUGGCAUUUUUCUUGCAAUUAUAAGUUUAAAUUUAUGGGUAUUUAUAGAGUCCCCCUUUCUUUUUCCGCAAGGGGCAGUAGCUGUGCCAUUCGAUUUGAAGGACAAAGAGUUGAUCACAAAGGGGUAGCAUUUAGGAUAUAUAUACAAGAGUAUAGAACCAAAUUAUAUGAUGUAAUUGACCACUAUUUUUAUUAACUUCUCUUACACAAUGUUCACGAGUUCAUGUACAUUUUAUUGUGUCA